rnacentral:rRNA from 1 species
UACAGAGGGUGCGAGCGUUGUUCGGAAUUAUUGGGCGUAAAGCGCGUGUAGGCGGCCAACUAAGUCGGGUGUGAAAAGCCCCUCAGCUCAACUGAGGAAGUGCGCCCCGAGACUGGAUGGCUUGAGUGCUGGAGAGGGUGGCGGAAUUCCCCCAAGUAGAGGUGAAAUUCGUAGAGAUGGGGAGGAACACCGGAGGCGAGGCGGCCACCUGGACGGUAACUGACGCUGAGACGCGAAAGCGUGGGGAGCAAACAGG